rnacentral:rRNA from 1 species
GACGAACGCUGGCGGCGUGCUUAACACAUGCAAGUCGAACGCUGAAGCUCAGCUUUUGUUGGGUGGAUGAGUGGCGAACGGGUGAGUAACACGUGAGUAACCUGCCUCCUUCUUUGGGAUAACGCCCGGAAACGGGUGCUAAUACUGGAUAUUCACUGGUCUUCGCAUGGGGGUUGGUGGAAAGGGUUUUUCUGGUGGGGGAUGGGCUCGCGGCCUAUCAGCUUGUUGGUGGGGUGAUGGCCUACCAAGGCUUUGGCGGGUAGCCGGCCUGAGAGGGUGACCGGUCACAUUGGGACUGAGAUACGGCCCAGACUCCUACGGGAGGCAGCAGUGGGGAAUAUUGCACAAUGGGCGCAAGCCUGAUGCAGCGACGCCGCGUGAGGGAUGGAGGCCUUCGGGUUGUGAACCUCUUUCGCUCAUGGUCAAGCCGCAACAAUGGUUGUGGUGAGGGUAGUGGGUAAAGAAGCGCCGGCUAACUACGUG